UUCUGGGCUGUCUAUGCAACAAGCGUCAGCGAGCCCUCGAACUUGCUUUCGCACUAGUAUUACUAAUAAAUAUUUAAAACCGUGCGACCUAAGACAAUUAUGAAAGCGAAACUCUGUUUCUUCAUACGUUGUCUAUCACCAUUUAAACGAUGGCCGGAAAAUCACAGUUCUGAACCGUUCUCAACCAUUUAGAACUCUGGUUGAAACACCCUGAUUAUCCAUGUUUUCGAAUUAUAUUUUACUUCUUUUUGAACUAGAUAUACGAAAAAAAAAGAUAAAUAUAUUAUUUUAAACCGUAUGAUCGUUUCCGUCUGUCUGAAAUCGAGAAUUCGCAUUUAGGAUAUUGAGCGUAAAGAUUUCUCGGUGGUGGGCGGUGGAACUUUUGUUCAGGCAAAUAUUUAGAGAUGGGGUGUUCCCCUAUAAUUUGUGGUAAUGUCUAUAAAGGCCCUGAUCCUCGCCUAUUUACACACUGUUAUUAUCAAUUUAGGUUAGAAAGUUAGACGGCGCACAUUUGUGGACGUUUUGCAUGCAUUGCGCUGUGUCAGUAGUUGAACUUGAGUUUAUCGCCAGUUUGCAAUACCUCAAUAGUCAUCACAGUGUCCUCGUUCUCAGAUCUCUCAGUGUGUUUGUUUUGUCAACCCUAAUAAUUACUUCUAAACGACGUUUCUCCCUAAUAACCAGAAGUGAGCAGAGCUACAAUAAAUUUCAACUUGAACGUGGAUGACUAGUGGCGCUCUUGAACACUUUGACCUUGUUUUGGGCCACUCAUCAUAUUUCUCUCAGUUACUUGAAGAAAACCUCCAACAGUUACUUAAAUGAGUAAGACCCCCAUACUUUUUCAAUGUUUUUUAUGACAAGAAAUCACAAAUACAUCAAUACAGUUUUGUUUUAUUUUGAACAUGACCAAGUCAAAGUGUGUAAAAUCCUGCUAUAAAAGCUAGUCCUUCCACCAGGAUACUACAGAAGCGCUUCCAGCAGGACGAUUCUUUGUACGACUUAUGAUUAAAUAACCACAGGAAUAGAGUAUAAUUGUAUUUAUUUGGCCAAUCUAUCACGACAAGGGUCACGAUUGGUUGCGAUUUUUCUUGUUUGGUUCGAUUUGUGCAUUCCUGGGACGUUGUCCCAUAAAUAGAAUAAUAACAUCACCGGGGUGUCCUUCCCUUUGAGUAAUAAACAGAGCUGGGGUUAUUUUAUGGAAAAUGUAUGUUUGUCGUAGAAGGCGAAUCGAUAGGAAAGGUGGGUCUGCUGGCGCCGAGGCAACCCAUCUGGCGCCGAGCGUCGUAUCGGUAUUUGCGUUACGACCACCCAAUUUUGGUUAUAGAACAGCCAGUUAAUUAUUUAACCCGGGAACAUCAACUUUUAGAGAGCGAAGCCCCUCUUACAAAAGCUUCACGGCGCUCAACUCCAUACGAAAUUGCAUUAUGAAUAUAUAACACUCACUAGGUUUUUCAUUUCUUCCAGUUUCAGGAACCGCCCCGGGCCCCAUUUAACAUCCAUAAAAAAUGAGCGCCCAACUCGAGCUCACACACGCUUUGCACGCGCGCUCAAUCCUCGACCGACCACUUCAAUAAAAUCCGCUCCUGCAAUAACAAAACUAAUCGAAAGCCACUAUACCACUGUUCAAACAAAUUUUUAUCUAAUUGUUAUCAGUUGUGCCCCAUAACCAAGAGAGUAGUUGAAUUGAGCUUUUUUUACUGCAUAUUGGGCCGGGUCUGUGCUUUUGACAACACGAGAUUUUACUGCCACGAUUGCAAUAAAGAUAGCGACAAAAUUUUCAGCAUCAAGAAAAAACAAUUUCAAUUUUUCAGUUUCACGUUUUAAAAUGGAAACAUCGCGCGAAAACUGAUCCACGCAAAGUGAUAAUUUUGCAACGAAACAAGCCGUGACAUGUUAAUUUGUUAUCAAAUAACUUGAUUAAGUUCAACACUGAGAUGCAGUUUUUCAAUACGAAACUGCCGUCCUGUGUGUGUAUUUAUGGCCGAGAUCUGGUCGGGAGUUUGGUGAUCAAUUUUGUCUAUCGGCGGUAUAACACAGGCUAUAAGCUGGUGGGGCUUCUGGCGAGGGUAUUAUAGAUUAUAACGACUAAAUUAAGAAGGCUAUAUAUAAUAAGAGCUCUUGUGGCAUCGUAAGUAUUAAUGGGUCAAAAAUCGCGUCUGGUGUUCCCCGAUACUGAUCCUAUUAAUUUAAUUUUCGUAUAAAAAUACACGUGCGGUAAGCAGUUUGUUUACCAGCCGUGAUUUAUCGUUGCUCGUUAUAAUUUUUACCAAGUGUAUAUACUUGUAAAAGUUUCCCCAUUCCAGUUGAUCACGAAUUGAAUUUUCAUCAGUUUUCUGUCUUAAGAUCCCCACAUUAAUCAUACUGCAACAGAACUUUAUCUCAAUUAUUUAUCUAUUGCCACGAGGAAAUAAAGCGAAGUUAGGUAUUCCAAUUAUCUCAGCAAGAGGAAAUAGUUGGUCUUGAUUAAUUCCAGAGGGGAAUAUGGAUUCGUUCCUUUCUUCUACUUCUCACUUUUUUAUCGAAAUCGUUUAAUAUAAAUCGGAGUCUCAUUACCAGUUAAUGACGACGUCUUCUCAUCAGUAAUUCAGCAAAUCAGCGUCGAAGAGGAGCGAGAAGCGCGGCUUUAACACGCUGUCAUUUAUUUUUGCUGUUUUCCUCCCUUUGGUCCCUUCUCCUCAUCUAUCUCUUGCAGGACCGACUGGUCGCGGCAGCGGCAUCAUUAGCAACUUGAAUUAUGGAUUGUUUGUGCUGUGCUGCUUGUUGGGGGUUCCUCCUCUCUCGAAUGUAUCAAACUGUGGUGCGUGCCAUUUAGUUUUGCGGAAAAUGCCUGAUUUAUGCCUGAUUCGAAUUUUAUUUUUAAGUAGUUAUUAGAAAAAAGCCAGGUCGCAUAAAAUAUUGAAAUGAGGUAGUCAAGCUGAAAGGUUGUGUAUACAGGCGAGAUUUAUUUUAACAAAAAUACGCGUGCCUAAUGAAGAUAAAUAUAAACCACGUCCGGGCGUUUUGCUCUAACCAUGAAACAAAGCACCUUUUCAGACAUUCGCCGAACUGCACCGAAGAUUGCCUUUUCUCAUCGUCACCUAUGAGACGCAAUAAACUUUCUCGUGUCACGUCUCCACUAAUUACCGUUUUCUUGGAUAGGUGGAACGCGUCGUUCUUGUGUUUACAUCAGCAAGUUAAUAGAUAUCAAUUUAAUUAAAUCCUGCGUCGUAGGAGAGCUACUUGGAGGGAGAGCACUGUGGUCGAGAUAUCCGGGCGUGGAUCUUUCCGUGACACGGGCCUUAGUUAGGCCUCUGAAUUUCUGCAAAUCCCACGAUCUACUGCGCCCCAUCACCGGGGGUUUAACCCGCGCCGGACAUGAAAUGGGUAGAGCCGCGUUUUUAUUUGGGAAAAAACUGGGUUAUUGGUUAUUGUUUUGCGAUGGAAGCAUUUAACAUUUCCUUAUUCAAGCGAAUUCCCUUUUUAAAGCAGCUUGUUCAAUUAAGCACUGUCUUGUUAGAGUUCAUUUAUUUUUCAAUUUGCGGAGGGAGGCGCAGACAGUGGCCUGGAAUUAUGGCUUGAGAUGUCGAGCUUGGACAGAUGUGGCACAUCAGCAAUUGGAUUAAGUCCCCGGCUCUAUACGGAUUGUCUUUGUCCGUUGAUUCGCCUAUUUUUUCCGCAACUAACGAGUUUCGCAACACGGUCUCCGACUCUCUAUCUCUGCGGUCGUUUGAAAUAAUGAUGCGAUUUCCUUCUUGCUAUUCAAGUAAACGGGUCCCGUCACCAUUCUACAGAAAUUAAUUCACUCUUUCCCCCUUUAUUUAAUUAAAUUAUAACGCAUCUAUCGCCACCAAUCUGAGGGGCUGAUUAGCUGUGACAAGCUUACAAGACAAAAAUCACACUUGACACUGCAACAUAAUUAAAACGGAAACAAGAAAUCCACGAGUGUCGUCCUCUCUUUAAAAGAGAAACACUCUUGCAAG